UCGGGUCCCUGCAGCGACUGCAGUGCUGUCUUCUUCUGCGGCUUUCUGUGCCCUCUCCUUUUCGCUUCCGGAAACAUGGCUUCUGGUAUGGCUGUCUCUGAUGGUGUCAUCAAGGUGUUCAAUGACAUGAAGGUGCUUAAGUCUUCAAUGCCGGAAGAGGUGAAGAAGCGCAAGAAGGCUGUGCUCUUCUGGCUGAGUGAGGACAAAAAGAACGUCAUCCUGGAGGAGGGCAAGGAGAUCCUGGUGGGUGAUGUGGGCCAAACUGUCGACAACCGCUACGCCACCUUUGUCAAGAUGCUGCCAGAUAAGGACUGCUGCUGCGCCCUUUAUGAUGCAACUUACGAGACCAAGGAGAGCAAGAAGGAGGACCUGGUGUUUUAUCUUCUGGGCUCCUGAGUCUGUGCCCCUUAAGAGCAAAUGAUCUAUGCCAGCUCCAAAGACGCCAUCAAGAAGAAGCUGACAAGGAUCAAGCAUGAAUUGCAAGCAAACUGCUACGAGGAGGUCAAGGACUGCUGUGCCCGGGCAGAGAAGCUGGGGGGCGGUGCCGUCAUCUCCCUGGAGGGCAAGCCUUUGUGAGCCUCUUCUGGCCCUCUGCCUGGAGCAUCUGGCAGCCCCACACCUGCCCUUGGGGGUUGCAAGCUGCCCCCUUCCUGCCAGACUGGAGGGGCUGGGGGGAUCCCAGCAGGGGGAGGGCAAUCCCUUCACCCCAGUUGCCAAACAGACCCCCUACCCCCUGGAUUUUCCUCCUCCCUCCAUCUCUGAUGGUUCUAGCCUUCCCAAACUGCUUUUGAUCUUCUGAUUCUUCUUGGGUUGAAGCAGACCAAGUUCCCCUCAGGUCCCCCAGUUGUAGGGGGAGCCUGUAUUUUUUUUAACAACAUCCCCAAUCCCCACUUGUUUCUCCGCCUUCCCAUGCUGCCAACUUCAAAUAGUGAGUCUGUGCUUGUCUGUUUAGUCCUGUAUUUAAAUGGAAUGUUGUGGAGAUGACCCCUCCCUAUGCCAGCUGGUUUCUCUCCCUUUUCCCCUGGUCACUGCUACUCAUGGAAGCAGGACCACUAAGGGACCUUCAAUUAAAAAAAAAAAAGACAAUAAAAAUAAAAUAAAAAAUAA